CACUAUUUCUUCACUGAGUUGUAUUUUGUAUCUGCGGACAUCGAUCAGCUGUGACCUGUCAGCGAUGGAGUGAGACCUCCUGUCCGCAUCUGCGUUCUGUUCGUCUCAUCUAUUGUAACGACCUCGUUACUCCGCGAAGACAAGACGGAGCCAAACUCUCGUCCCUGUGUCCUUUCACGUGUCCCUCGGACACCGUCCACCUGACGCAGUAUCGGACACGAUUUCUUUGCCAGCUCGUAUUAAAUCAGAUUCCUGCUCCAAACCAAGCCGUGAAUCAUUAAGCGAGCAUCGGGGGCUGCUCGUGAUAAAUAUAAACCAAUGUCAAGAUGUGCUAUUCACACGCACACACCGAGCCGACACUAUUUCUAAUGUCCAGUAUCAGAUUCAGCAUCACAGUGUGUUGACAAACACUUUUACUACUGCGUCAACGGCUGAGCAGCUUUUUCCACUGAAAUUUCAAGGAUAAAGGAGCGAACAGGUGGCGCCAGGGUUUCCUGUCAUAUUCAUUACACUGCUGAAUGAUGCACCGGUUAUAUUUAUGGGCUGAUAUCAGCGCCUGAAGCUGGAUCGUACAUGCCGAGGAGAGCAAGGGGGUACGAUGACCUGCUCCCCCGGGAGGUUGAGAGGUGAAGACUAAAGAGAAGGUUGUUCGAGGCCCGUUAUGUAUCGUCUUACGUUCACAAAGACGGACAGGGACGUGAGACAGAAGACGCUGCAAAGAAAGGGAAGGUGCAAAGGGAUUUUUGAAGAGCGGUGGAGAGAGGAAGUGAAUUACCUGACAAGAGAAAAGACAAGAGUGUGGCAAAGAAAGAAAGAGGUUUAAAAUCCCGGCUGCUGAAGCGAGCUCGUCCACAGCCGCUACACGUGGGAGGAGUCAUAUAAGAGCGAAGGAAACGGAAGAGGAGUUUCACUGUUCUCCACAGACGACAGAGGCCACGAUUACCUGCUGGUGUCUGGUACGAUUCUUCAUCAUACAUCUCUUCAUGUAGAACAUGUAUGUGACUUAUCACGGCUUCAGGUUACUUCACUUUACGUUUCUAAGUGUUGGUAGUUUCAUUGUGUGUAAACUUAAACUGUUAAAGAGAGAAACAUUCAAACGUAUGAUUCAAGGAAACAGUGACUCUACGAUGACAUCAUUAGCAGCUGAGCUCCGGGACACCCGUGGUAAAGGAGGUCAAACCAACAUGGCGGCCGUGACGCACAACUCCGUAAAACCAACGCAGCAUAAACAUCUUUACACGU